GCGGCUACUGAGCUGGGACUAUGGGUUAGGCUGGUCCUUCAGUGGCCCUCCCUCACAGGAGGCCUGGGAAGAAGGGGUUUCACUUUCGAAGUAUAAGACAGCUAAACAGAAAGGCCGCUUGGUCAUUUGCAAUCAAGCUAGCCUGGUGGUGCUUGGUGCUACAGUAACCGACUUGAGGGAGCGUGGGGGUGUUGGGAACUUCUAGGAAGAAGACUGAGAGCCUGGAGGCUCACAGUGAUUGGUAAGGAACCACCCAUGACUUGGUUACAGAGUCCACUGGUUUGGAGCAGAAAGGAAAAUUAUAGCAUCAGCUGGGGGUUACACAUGCCCAUUGGGAUCCCAAUCGCUGCUGGAGUCCUGGCCCUCCUUGCUCUCCUGGCUCUGGCCUUGCACUGUCUCAAAGAGGCCUGGAAGUCCAGAUGGAGCCUUUGCUGGGGGGGCUGGAGGUGCCCUCAAACUUGGAAGAACCUGCAGCUUGUCUUCAACCACAGGCCAGAUGAGGGCCAGCUGGGAAUCCUUUCUUCAGAGCACCGUGGCCCUCAGAUGCCUUCCUCAGUGUCCCCUGAAGGCCCGAAUGGCACCAGGACUGGUCCUCAGCUUUGGGUGUGAAGAGGAGUGUCGUAUGCCCCUCCCCGCCGUGCCAGAGGAGGUUGUAGUACCCGCCAAGCACCCUGCAAGUAUUUGGAAAACCACUAACAUGGAUGGAGGACUGACUGAAUGAGAAGGGCAUUGUGACUGCUGUGGGGUGAGGGGUGGGUCCUUGUCCCCCAGGAGUAUGGCACGAGGGAGGGUCUAGCAGAAGUGUCUCUCUCCUCUGGCUUAUGGCAGCAAAGCUUUCUCCCCAAAGCCACCCUGAAGAAGCAGAGGUUCUGGUUACUCCAUCUUUAACAGUAGCCUGUUCCCAUGGGUGCAAUGCCAUGACCCAAGAGAGAGCAGAGCCAUGGGCUAGAAGCAAAGGACAGAGGUCCUUAAGAAUGGCCACUGAAUGGCACGCAGGCACAAGGAAGCUGCAGCUGACCUCCUUCCAGUCCCAAGAGCUCUGUCACUGUCCAGGCAGAGUUCUCAGGCCUAAGGUCCGGCUGGCUCCUUCCUGGGACCACAGCAAGGGCCACUGCAACCUCAUUGCUUGUAGCCCUUGCACUUUCCCGGCUCAGCCCAGGCAUCAGAGAAAUCAGGGCCUCCUGAAGCAUGUCUGGGUCCCUGGCUGCUGAGCACCAAGCUAGUGAGCUUUCUGGGUCAGGACACUGCUGCAGCCUACCCUCUUGCCCAUGUUUCCAGACCAGAGCCACUGGAAUCUGGGUUCCUGAGAACCCCCAGGGCCACUUGAUCAGGUUUUCCUGGGCUUUUCCCGUUAGUAAGGGCAGGUUAGUUAGGUUGGCAGGUAGAAUGUGAAAAUGCCCCCAAGAUGGCUGUCCUCCGAGGUCCACAGGCUCAUGAGCCAGUCCUCUGGAGCGCAGAUACAACCAUGAGUGCACCACGCUCUCUGAUGAGGUCGAGCUAUGGGGCGGAGGGACUGAUGCAUUAUAGCCUCUAAUUAAUUAAAUUGCCUCUGCGUUAAGGAAGAGAUGGGGCCAGGAGCAGUGGUGCAGGCCUGUGGGUGGGCUGAGCCAACUGGGCAGGGUGAGGCAGCAGGAUCACUUGAGUCCAAGACAUCAAGGCCAGCCUGGGUAACAAAGUAAGGCCCUGCCUACUUUUCAACAGGGUCUGCUAUGCAGCCCCUGCUGGCCUGAAAUGUGAGACCCUACCUUGACUCCCUGCCUGAGUAUUGGGACUAUAAGCACAAGCAGUCUGAGACCUUGAUUCUCAAAAAAAAAGUGGUGGUGAUGAUGACGACGACGACGACAACAACGACGAGGAGGACGACAAGGACGACGAGGAGGAGGAGGACGAGCCUGGAUAGUCUGAUUUGGUCUGUGAACUGUUUAAGAGUCGGCCCAGAGCUGCCCAGGAGAGGACGAGCCUCCAUUCUGAGGCUGCCACCUUGACUGCUGCUGUGUGACCCUAGACAGAGGACACUGUUCAGCCCUCCCAGAGUCCUGGUUCACCAACAGCAUGAGGUAAUAAAUAGGAGUUUUUGGCAGUUUUUCCUGGCAAUUUGUUCUAAGGCAAUAAAUGUGUGCCGAACAGGACAGGCUGGCAGGUCUGAGGGCAGUGAGGAGUGAGGCCACUUUGGGCAGGGCACCGAUGCCAGGGCUGUCAGGAGAGCCUGCCUAGCCUCUACUACCCUCCUUUUUGGCAGGGCCCUGCUGUGGUGAGGUAGGCUGCACCGGGCCUAUUAGAACCUCCAGAAUGAGAAGGGAGGAUUGGCCUCCCCAGAGUACUGGACAUCUUCUUUUGGCCUUCCAGAGCAAGAGGCUGUAGGAUGAAGCAAGUGGGAGCAGGCCUAAAGCCUGUGGUACCCUAAGUGGGUCCUGGAGACAUCCUUAAAUACAUCUCUAGCAUCCGGUCCUUAAACCAGGUAAUCACACCUCACGCACACAGUCAGGGAGAGGACUCCAUGGCAGGUACUGUGGCGUCUGCAUGGACAGGUGGUUAAGGAGGUGCCUGGAGGCAGAGGUGGGUGUGGAAGCUGCUGCUGUCACUGGGUGAGUUGCUGGGGCCCCAGAUGAAUUAGAAGCAGAGGGAUGGGGAUGGAUAUCAAAUGCCCACUGUUGCUGCGUGGUGACGGUGUACAACUUUAAUUCCAGCACUCAGGAGGCAGAGGCAGGGGGAUCUCUGAGGCUAGCCUGGUCUACAGAGUGAGUUCCAGGACAGCUACACAGAGACAGGGCUAUACAGAGAAACCGUGCCUUGAAAAAUCAAACCAAACCAAGCAAACAAAUAAAAAAAACCCACUGUUGAGUUUUUGUUUGAAGUCCUUGUCUCCACCUGCCCAAUGUAAUCUACCUGAGAUUACAGACAUGUACCACUAGGCCCAGCUUUUCACAGGGAUGCUGGGAAUCUGACUCAGGUCCUCAGAGCUUCGUAGCAAGCAUUUCUCCAGCCCCCAGCCCAUCUUUUUGACUGGAGGCAAAUCUCAGGUGGGGGCCCAGGGUGGCUGACAGUCAGGGCGGGGCAAUGGGCUAAGAUAAAAAGUGGGCAGUUACCGGUCCAGACAUAUCCAGGGUCUCAAGAAGCAAACCUGGCCUUCGUUUGGUGCCCCUUCCCUUCUGGGCUCACCCCAACUCAUUCAAGUGAGCUCAUGAAGGAGUCCGGCUGAAGGGGUGGCACAUGGCCCACUCCUCAGACCUUCCCUAUGGCUGGGAACAGAGCCUCGGCAGGUGCUCUCCC